AAUAGCGAGAGAGUGUGAGGGCAGAAAGGCGAAGAGGUGCGACGGAAGUUGACGGCAAAGCCGUUUUCCCAUUCACCGGUGGCGACGGCAGACCCGAGAGCCGAUCCCCGACCAGUUUCAUGACGGCAGAGGGAGUGGUGGUCAUUGGUGGUGUACGGAACGACGGAUGUGACGUCGACAACCAAGAAUUUUAACCUCGGUGACGUAGCAGCUGCGGUGAGAACGAUGCCGAUGUCAGACAGCGGUAACAGUCGCCAAAGCUCCGACUCAGGCCUACGACAGUGGCAGCAGACACCUUAUUUUUUCAUCUUAAUGGUCUUGCGGAUGGGGUUGACCAAAUUAGGACAAAUGCAUUAUCUACCGAGCAACCAAAGGACCUUAGGUACAUAUGGAGCUUGCACAGGGAGGAGCAGGUCGUUGUGGG